UGGGCGCAAGCCUGAUGCAGCCAUGCCGCGUGUGUGAAGAAGGCCUUCGGGGUUGUAAAGCACUUUCAGUAGUGAGGAAGGUGGUGUAGUUAAUAGCUGCAUUAUUUGACGUUAGCGACAGAAGAAGCACCGGCUAACUCCGUGCCAGCAGCCGCGGUAAUACGGAGGGUGCGAGCGUUAAUCGGAAUUACUGGGCGUAAAGCGCAUGCAGGUGGUUAGUUAAGUCAGAUGUGAAAGCCCGGGGCUCAACCUCGGAACUGCAUUUGAAACUGGCUGACUAGAGUACUGUAGAGGGGGGUAGAAUUUCAGGUGUAGCGGUGAAAUGCGUAGAGAUCUGAAGGAAUACCAGUGGCGAAGGCGGCCCCCUGGACAGAUACUGACACUCAGAUGCGAAAGCGUGGGGAGCAAACAGGAUUAGAUACCCUGGUAGUCCACGCCGUAAACGAUGUCUACUUGGAGGUUGUGGCCUUGAGCCGUGGCUUUCGGAGCUAACGCGUUAAGUAGACCGCCUGGGGAGUACGGUCGCAAGAUUAAAACUCAAAUGAAUUGACGGGGGCCCGCACAAGCGGUGGAGCAUGUGGUUUUUUCGAUGCAACGCGAAGAACCUUACCUACUCUUGACAUCCAGAGAACUAGCAGAGA
rnacentral:rRNA from 1 species